AUUGAACGCUGGCGGCAGGCCUAACACAUGCAAGUCGAGCGGAUGAAGGUAGCUUGCUCCUGAAUUCAGCGGCGGACGGGUGAGUAAUGCCUAGGAAUCUGCCUGGUAGUGGGGGAUAACGUCCGGUAACGGGCGCUAAUACCGCAUACGUCCUGAGGGCGCAAGUGGGGGCUCUUCGGCCCUCACGCUAUCAGAUGAGCCUAGGCCGGAUUAGCUAGUUGGUGGGGUAAAGGCCUACCCAGUCGACGAUCCGUAACUGGUCUGAGAGGAUGAUCAGUCACACUGGAACCAAGACACGGUACUGUCUGCUACAGGAGGAUGCGUUGGUGAGUAUUGGACAAUGGGCGAAGGUAGUAUCCACCCAUCCCGCGUGUGUGAAGAAGGUCUUCGGAUUGUAAAGCACAUGAUGGUGGGAGGGAGGGCAGUAAGUCAAUACCUUGGUGUUUUGACGUGACUAUCAGAAGAAGCCCCGGCUAACUUCGUG
rnacentral:rRNA from 1 species